CCUACGGGCGGCAGCAGUGGGGGAUAUUGCACAAUGGAGGAAACUCUGAUGCAGCGACGCCGCGUGAGGGAAGACGGUCCUCGGAUUGUUAAACUCUGUCUUUGGGGAAGAAAAUGACGGUACCCAAAGAGGAAGCGCCGGCUAACUACGUGCCAGCAGCCGCGGUAAUACGUAGGGAGCGAGCGUUAUCGGGAUUUACUGGGUGUAAAGGGAGCGUAGGCGGGCGAGAAAGUUGAAUGUUAAAUCUACCGGCUAAACUGCGAGCUGCGUUCGAAACAUCUUGACUUGAGUGAAGUAGAGGCAGGCGGAAUGCCUGGUGUAGCGGUGAAAUGCGUAGAUAUUAGGAGGAACACCCGUGGCGAAGGCGGCCUGCUGGACAUUAACUGACGCUGAGGCACGAAAGCGUGGGGAGCGAACAGGAUUAGAUACCCGAGUAGUC
rnacentral:rRNA from 1 species